rnacentral:lncRNA from 1 species
AUUGAUACUACAAAAUGUUCUUUUAGGCCUCGCAUUGUUUUGCUAGCUGGUAAUUCGAUAACAUGCAUAUCCGGUGACAUCAAGUUGGAGAGUUCAUGCUACUUUAACACAUCAAAGUAGCUCUAAAGAACGAAUGAUAAAAAGACUUUGAUCAUAAGCCUAUACUCCUAUCAAAUCAAGUUCCAAAGUAGUUCAGCAAUUCAAGUGCACAAAUCAAAUGGAAUUUUUCUAAGCAUGCCAAGUAACUGAUUCAAAGAUAGUUCGAACAAGCUUGCGUUUAGGACUCAUGUGCAAGACAACUACCCAACAAGACUAGCAUACACAAAUCUUGUGCAAACCCACCCACACUUAGUUUGGAUAGUGCCCUCACUGAAUGAAACAAAAAGUUGCACAGGAAAACCUGGACGCUGUAAUAAAUUCGAGAAGCUCGAUACAUGACUCCUG